AGAGGCACCCAUGACACAGCUCUUCAACCUUGCUUUACUCCCCUCAGAGUCCAACAGGACUCAUGGUCCUGCUGCCACCCUUGGAAAAGGUGUUAUCCUAGAAAGCUGCCUCUAAAGCAUCCAGAAAGGAUCCACAGGAGUUGUACAGAGAUUCAAAUGUAAGCAGAAAGAGAUGGGGUAUGUUGCUAAGGAUUCUUUGUGGUGCCUGUCCACUGCCUUCACCCCCAAGCCCUGACUUGAAGAAAAAGUAUUUUAGUCAUGCAAACAGAAGAGCAAAGAUAAAUUGGAAGAAUCAUACUGAUUGUAUCAAGAAGUUUUCAGGCCACAUGAAGUGCUGCAUUGAUAUAUUUCUCUUCAGAAACCAAUGGCAGUGCUGAUGGUAACUGUAAAUCUGCAGGUCACACCAAGCUGUAUGAGAAAGUUGCAUCUACAGAGAGAAUGGAUGUCAUCCAGAGGGACCUUGAAAGACUAUGGGGCCUGAAGCAGCUUGGAAAAAGACAGAGACCACUGCUUCUUCUAACAGGAUCCAUCUUUAUAACACACACUCUAGUAUUUACAUGUUUCUACUAUGGGAAACUUUAAAGAAUGUCUUGGGAAUGUGCAGAAGGAAAGACAAAACAGCAAACACCUGGCAAGGCAGACUUUUCUGUCCUUUAUCCACCAUUUGCUCAAACAAGCCACCUCCCAGCACUCAAAAGGUAAAAGAGAAACACUCACACAUGGUAUUUAUGGCUGCAUCAUUCCUUGCAUCUUUGUCAAGAGAACAGAAAGCCUUUAUGAAAGUUAAGCUAAGUGUGACAAGUUGCUCUUCUACACAGUACUCUAAGGCCAGGAGGGCUGCAGCAGGUCGCUGCU